rnacentral:rRNA from 1 species
GCAGUCGAACGGUGAACACGGAGCUUGCUCUGUGGGAUCAGUGGCGAACGGGUGAGUAACACGUGAGCAACCUGCCCCUGACUCUGGGAUAAGCGCUGGAAACGGCGUCUAAUACUGGAUACGAACCAUGAAGGCAUCUUCAGUGGUUGGAAAGAUUUAUUGGUUGGGGAUGGGCUCGCGGCCUAUCAGCUUGUUGGUGAGGUAAUGGCUCACCAAGGCGUCGACGGGUAGCCGGCCUGAGAGGGUGACCGGCCACACUGGGACUGAGACACGGCCCAGACUCCUACGGGAGGCAGCAGUGGGGAAUAUUGCACAAUGGGCGCAAGCCUGAUGCAGCAACGCCGCGUGAGGGAUGACGGCCUUCGGGUUGUAAACCUCUUUUAGCAGGGAAGAAGCGAAAGUGACGGUACCUGCAGAAAAAGCGCCGGCUAACUACGUGCCAGCAGCCGCGGUAAUACGUAGGGCGCAAGCGUUAUCCGGAAUUAUUGGGCGUAAAGAGCUCGUAGGCGGUUUGUCGCGUCUGCUGUGAAAUCCGGAGGCUCAACCUCCGGCCUGCAGUGGGUACGGGCAGACUAGAGUGCGGUAGGGGAGAUUGGAAUUCCUGGUGUAGCGGUGGAAUGCGCAGAUAUCAGGAGGAACACCGAUGGCGAAGGCAGAUCUCUGGGCCGUAACUGACGCUGAGGAGCGAAAGGGUGGGGAGCAAACAGGCUUAGAUACCCUGGUAGUCCACCCCGUAAACGUUGGGAACUAGUUGUGGGGUCCAUUCCACGGAUUCCGUGACGCAGCUAACGCAUUAAGUUCCCCGCCUGGGGAGUACGGCCG